rnacentral:lncRNA from 1 species
CAUUAUAUAUAUAUAUAUAUAUAUAUAUAUAUAUAUAUAUAGAGAGAGAGAGAGAGAGAGAGAGAGAGAGAGAGAGAGAGAGAGAGAGAGUGUGUGUGUGUUAGGCUGGUAUAUUAUCGGUAGCACGGAAGCCUCCAUACUACUAAGUUAUUUUUAAUGAUGCGGCUUUUAAAUCGACGACCGGCUCCGUUAGACUUGAUCUAUACUAUUGAAAGUAUUUGAAAACUAAAUUUUCUAAUUUUUCGGUAUCAUUUACCUAUCAAACGAGUAGUCUAAAAAUGAAUGACUGAAAAUAAAAAUUUCAUAAAAAAUGAUGAUGAAAGACUUGAAUUUAAGAUCAGAAGCACUGAUCUUACUCUAAAUAGUAAAAAAAAAUUUCUAUAAAAAUUUCAUCAGAUUUGGAUUGUUUUACACCGUUAAAUUCACAAACGCAUCACAUCUACCAUUAAAAUUGUCAAUUUUGAGACCUUUUGAUCACUAGCCAAAUGAUGUCGAAAAAUUAUGAAAUUUAGUUUUUAAAUACUUUUAAUAGUGUAGAUCAAUUCUAACGGAGCCGAUCGUCGAUUUGAAAGCUGUAUCAUUGAAAACAACUCGGUAGCACGGAGGCCUCCGUGUUAUCGAUAGUAUACCAGCCUUGCUCUCUCUCUCUCUCUAUAUUUAUAUAUAUAUAACUCUACCCCUUGCUGAAGUAGGUUCAUUUAUUAAU